GGAAAUAAUGUUUUGUGUAUUGAUUCUACUAAUAAUAACUUGGAUAAAGCAUCUUUAUGGCAUUGUCGUCUUGGACAUAUAAGCAAGAAACGCAUAGGCCAACUCCAAAAGGAUGGAGUCUUGGAGUCGUUUGACCUAAAGUCAGAUGAUAGUUGCGAAUCAUGCUUACUUGGAAAAAUGACAAAGUCACCCUUCACAGGUUCGUGUGAGAGGGGUGAAGGUUUGUUGGACCUUAUACACACGGAUGUGUGUGGACCAUUCAAACAUGCCACAAGGGAUGCUAAUCGUUAUUAUUUGACUUUUACUGAUGAUUAUAGUAGAUAUGGAUAUGUCUACUUGAUCAAGCAUAAGUCAGAGACUUUCGAGAGGUUUAAGGAAUUUAAACAGGAAGUCGAGAAUCAAUUGGGCAGGAACAUUAAGAUGCUUCGAUCCGAUCGUGGUGGUGAGUAUCUUAGUUCAGAGUUCCUCGACUAUCUAAGGGAAUGUGGGAUAGUCUCACAAUUGACACCUCCCAGGACACCACAGUUGAAUGGUGUGGCUGAGAGGCGUAAUCGAACCUUGUUAGAUAUGGUUCGUUCCAUGAUGAGUCGAGCUACGCUACCAAUCUCAUUCUGGGGGUAUGCCUUAGAGACUGCCGCCCAUAUUCUUAAUCUAGUCCCUACAAAGAAAGUUGCCAAAACUCCUCACGAGAUGUGGACUGGUAAAGUACCUAAACUAGACCACAUCAAGAUUUGGGGUUGCGAGGCUUUCGUGAGACGCGAGACUCAUGAUAAGCUCGAACCUCGAAGCGAGAGGUGUAUUUUCAUCGGUUACCCACAGCGAUCCUUUGGUUACCUCUUCUACAGACCUAGUGACAAUGUGGUCUUUGUAGCAAGAAGAGGAGUCUUUCGAGAAAGAGAGUUUAUAAGCCAAGGAGACAGUGGGAGGCAAAUUGAUCUUGAAGAAAUUCAAGAAUCAAGCGGUGAAGGAACUUCAAACUCUAGCCCUCAACUUGAGGAGGAAACUCCUGUUGAGCCAAUUGACAAAUCUGUACCUCUGAGACGUUCCACGAGAGUUAGGAGUGCACCUGAGCAUUACUAUGGAUUCCAUAUUACUGCAGAAGGUGAGACACUUAUUAGUGAUGAGACACUAGUAAGUCAAGAUGACCCUAACAGCUACGAGGAAGCCAUGGCAGGCCCCGAGUCUGCUAAAUGGAAAGAGGCUAUGGAUAGCGAGAUACAAUCCAUGUAUGACAAUCAAGUUUGGAACUUGGUUGAAAAUGUACCAGGUCGUAAGACAGUAGGGUGCAAAUGGGUCUUCAAGAAGAAGACCGACAUGGAUGGUAAAGUACACACUUAUAAGGCUAGACUGGUUGCAAAGGGCUUCUCUCAAAUUCCUGGAGUGGAUUAUGAUGAGACCUUUUCUCCGGUAGCCAAGAUUAAGUCUAUUCGGGUUCUGUUAGCCAUAGCUGCAUUUCAUGACUAUGAAAUAUGGCAGAUGGAUGUCAAAACCGCUUUCCUUAAUGGAAAGUUGGCUGAAGAUGUUUACAUGAGUCAGCCAGAGGGUUUUGUCAGCAACGAGUACCCUAAUAGAGUGUGUAAGCUUGAGAAAUCCAUUUAUGGAUUGAAGCAAGCACCUCGCAGAUGGAAUCUUUGCUUUGAUGAAAAGGUCAAGGAAUUUGGCUUUUCUAGGAGUGAAGAUGAAUCUUGUGUGUAUGUCAAGGCUAGUGGGAGUAUAGUUAGCUUUUUGGUAUUGUAUGUGGAUGACAUACUACUCAUAGGAAACGACAUUCCAACCCUGCAGGAAGUAAAGUCCUGGCUUGGGAAGUGUUUCGCUAUGAAGGACCUUGGUGAAGCUGCCUAUAUUCUAGGGAUAAGAAUCUUGAGAGAUCGGAGUAAAAGACUAAUUGGACUUAGUCAGAGUACCUACUUGGAUAAGGUGCUGAAGAGAUUCAGCAUGCAGGAUUCCAAGAAAGGAGAGUUACCCAUCCAGAGUAACACCAGAUUGAGUAAGACACAAAGCCCUAGCACUGAGGCUGAGAUAGCAGAAAUGAGUCGAACACCUUACGCUUCGGCUGUAGGAUCGAUCAUGUAUGCUAUGACGUGUACUCGACCCGAUGUAGCUUUUGCCUUGAGCAUGGUUAGCAGGUAUCAGGCGAACCCUGGCAAGGCACACUGGACUGCGGUAAAGAAUAUCCUCAAGUACCUACGGAGGACUAAGGACUGGGUCCUUACCCUCGGUGGGAGUGAUGACUUGAGAGUUGUAGGGUAUAGUGAUGCUAGCUUCCAGACUGAUAGGGAUAAUUUCCGCUCUCAGUCGGGCUGGGUCUUUACCCUAAACGGAGGAGCAAUUUCUUGGAAGAGUUCCAAGCAAGAGACAGUGGCAGAUUCUACUUGUGAAUCAGAGUAUAUUGCAGCUAGCGAAGCAGCAAAGGAGGCGAUAUGGCUGAAGAACUUCAUUGGAGACCUUGGAGUUGUACCAGCUAUUAAAGAGCCAAUGGAAAUUUUCUGUGAUAGUGAAAGUGCUGUUGCCUUAGCCAAGGAACCAAGGGAUCAUGGGAGAUCCAGACACAUCGACAGAAAAUACCAUUUCAUUAGACAUCGGAUCGAAGAAGGACUCCUCGUGGCAAAGAGGGUAUCAUCGGAUGAGAACCCAGCAGAUCCCCUCACGAAGGGACUGAGUAGGGUUAAGCAUCUCCAGCAUGCUCGGAGCAUAGGGCUGAAGGAUGAUAUAAGUUUUAGUAGUUAGAUAACCCAGAAAUUUGUAAAGUGUAAUUGACAUUUGAUGAUGAAUAAAAGGUGUUUUAUUUAUGAGUAAAGUGUUGCUAUCUCUUGUCAAUCGUUUACUAUAUUUCUUUUGCAUGUUUUGACUUCCAGAAUAAUUUUGUUUGGUGUAACAUAUUAUUCAAACCUCCACAGUCGGUCAUAUGUCGGAAGUAGGUAUGAAUCAAGACUGUCAUGAUGGGUUGUAGAGGUCUAAGGUGUUGGACAAGGCUACAACAAUCAUGAGUGCUCAUAAGUUCUGAGCAUUGGACUCAACCCACGCUCACUGGAAUCACUUCAUGGAAUUCUAUCUCGAGUGAUCGUGAGACGGUAAUAUCAUAUAAGUCUUCAAACCUAGAGAUAUGAUUUGUUACUUACAAGUUGGUUAUGCAUUGACUGUACGAAACCGCAUUGGUAACUCGAUGUUAUAAAACGUACUUUUGUGUGUAAUUCAAUGAGUGGUAGAACAAACAUAUGAGUCGAAGUUUAUCUGUUCCUUCUUGGAUUAGAAGCUGAUAUCUGGGCCCCUCGAUGAUUUUGUUUUGACCCAUGUACCGGGCCCGGUCAGAACUAAGUUGAUGUGUUCAAUUAAGUUCUAUGUCAAACAAAUCGGAAAUCGGGAAACAAAUGCUGGACAAUAAGCAAGACAAUGUUCCAUGUAUUUGUCCGGCUGAUAUCUAGAACGGAGGAUUAUAUGAUCACUUAUCUUAAAUGGCGUACCAUCAUCUUCUCAGUUCCGAGAGACCUUGAAAGAGCUACGAUUGCCGGUCGGUUCCUGAAGUACUAGAGAUAUAGUUAUUAGACUUAUCCAAGUGGGAGACUGUUGGAUAAGGUGUCUAAGUCCAUAACUAUUUCGGGCUUGUACUUGACCCGACCCGGCAUGGUCCAUUUGGGUUGCAUGGCACCAUGCAAUUGGAUAGACUAAAUGAGAGAAAUAACACUUGGAGAUUAUUAAUAUAUUAUAAGUUCUAAUAUAUUAAUAAUAUUAUUUGAUUAGUUGAUCAAAGAAUUAAUUUGGAAUUAAUUAAGUGAUCAAAGGAUAACUAAUUAAAUAUAUGGGUUGAUUAUGUAAAUCAUCCAUAUCUUGUAUAGUGGGCUAAGAGGCUCCAUGGAUUAUCAAGUUGGGUUCUACCCAUAGGAUGCUCCAUGGAUGCUCCAUGGGAGUUACAAACCCAUGGGUCAUGGAAAUGAAGAGUCAUGACACAUUAGGGUUUACAUGGUGUAACCCUAGAUGUGUCAACACUAUAUAAGAAUCAUAUUCUCCACCAAAAUCGGCUACACUAAGAAACUAGAGGGCUUGGCCGAUUUUGAGAAGUGUGUGUUAUCUCAAGAGUCUUUCCAAGAGCAUUUGGUGUUGUGUGAAGCAUUUGAGGCAUCACACUUGGGGUGCUAGGCUCACAAGGUUUCAAGGAACACAAGCAACAACAAGGUAAGUUAUUCUAUCUAUGAUUCAAGUUAAAAUUGUUCCCCAUGUAUGCUAGAUAGGAAUAUAACCUUGGAAUUCAACUUUGCAUGAUAAUUAGACAAACAUAGAUCCAAGGUUAUUAGGGUUGCAUGUACACUUAGGAAGUGUUAGAAUGCUCAAAACCCAUCAGUGGUAUCAGAGCCUAGGCUUGUUUGUUUGUUAUUUGUGCUUAAAAGUUGAAGAAAGUCGAAAAUCUUGCUGUCUGACUGAUGGACUCGGCGAGUCCAUGGGGAGGACUCGUCGAGUUCAUGUGUAUCUUCAACCUACUCGGCGAGUAGGUUUAUGCACUCGGCGAGUAGGGUCGACAGAGUGCAGAAUUUCGACUUGAGUUGCUGGAAAUGGAUUAGAAUCAUUACCCUAAAAUGUUUUGGUACUUGAAAACUUAUUUUAGAAGGUGUAAUGUCUUUUCUAACUCAUUUACAACAACUAGUUAUCAAAAUUACAAAGAUUAAAUGUGAUUUUGAUUCUUGAAAGUGUUCAUAUUCAUAUUCUUGUUCUUAUGAUGUUUAGAUGAUCAUAGGAAUUAUUUGUAACCUAUGUGGUAGAUUAAUUCAUGAUCAUAAUGUGUUUUAAUGGAGUCCAUAACUUGUCCUCAAGUUAUGGAAAACCAAAAGUCUCUUGGAUUAAAAACCAUUAAAAGAACACAAGAGUUAGGAAAAAUGAAAAGUCCUCAUUUUAUUACUCUAUUAAACUCAUAAGUUACAAGAAAUGAAAAGUUUUGAAAGUUUACAAAACUUGCCCUCAAGUUUUGGAACAAGUAAAGUUAAGUUAAAACUUUAGUUCCAACCCCUAGAAUUUUAAAAGUUAAAAUUCAACCCUUAUACUUAUAUUAUUAUGAUUUAAUAAUUAUAUAUAUAUGUAUAAGAACAAAGUCGUCUUACCGCUAGUACGCCUCAUUCACGAAGCCGGUCUAUAAGGUGGGUAUAAGGUUGUUGCCUAUAAAAUGGUGACUUAAUGGGUGUCCACUCUCACCCACCGCUUGCUUGAUCGGUGGAGGGUCGUUAGCCGAACGGGUAAGACAAGGACUUAUUAAUUCUCAUUCAAAGUAUGAUGAAUAUUAUAAAGUAACUAAAUGUUUUAUUAAAUUCCCAAUCUUAGUUACUUUAGGAAAAAUGUGAAUAAGGUGCUAUUCCAUGAAAUUACACUUUACACUUUGAUUAAGUCGUUGGUGGAGCGUGUGUGGUUAACCGGCACACUAACUUGGACUUAACAAGGUAGGUAAAGGGUGACUUAGGGUUUAUUAUAGUAUCGAUGGAGCGUGUGUGGUUAACCGGCACAUCGAUUGAGUGAUAAACUUUAAGGGUACCAAGUGAUUUGCAUGGUUACUUCACACCUCGUUUUGUGAUCCUCGGUAUCCCAGUCACAAAACUUGGAGGGCACACUCGAGAUUGAAACAUGCCUUUGAAAAGUUCAUUGAAUCUCAAAGAAUCUAGGAAUUUCUAAGAACCAUUCAAAAACCUAAUACUAAAAUAUUGCGGUUUUCGUGGUGGAAAUUGGUGAAUCGUCAUUCACCUACCUUUCAAAUAUGAUAUAGCUUAGAUUACGGCAUACCUCUUCUAAGUUAUAUUAUAUUGUGAUUGGAUCCUAGCCUUAAUAUUACAUUUGGGUGUUUUAUUAAGGACUCUCUUAUAUCUAAACUAAUCUUGUCCUCUUUCCUUCAGAUGUCUUUCAACAAUGCUUCUGGCUCUAAUCCUAAUGGCUCCUUUACCCUUAUGAACUUGUGUGGGAAAGUCACCUUUGAUGGAUCCAACUUCAAUGAGUGGAUCAGAAACAUCAGGAUGAUUACCCGCUACGAGGACAAAGAAUAUGUCCUUGACAAGGAGCUUAAGGAGAUUGAUGAGUCCACUGCAACUCCUCAGGAGAUCGCUGAAUUUCGGGCACAUGAAAGGGAUGCUACGAAAGUGGCUUGCAUCAUGAUGGCCACGAUGACAGCGGAACUCCAAAAGUCUUAUGAGGAUUUCUACCCUUAUGAAAUGCACCAAGAUUUGAUGGAAAGAUACCAUCAAAGUGCAAGACAAGAGAGGUAUGAAAUCAUCUGCUCCAUGAUAACAACCAUGAUGAAGGACGGGGAAUCCGUCACGAGCCACAUGCAGAAAAUGCAAAGGUAUGUGGAUCGUUUGCUGAAGCUUAAUGUGAACUUCCCGGAGGAUCUUGCAAUAGAUAUUAUUUUGCAUUCCUUACCAUCGUGCUAUGAUCAAUUCCGCAUGACAUAUCACAUGAACAAGGAAGAAGUCACCCUCAGCAAACUUCAGGGACUUCUCAAGACCGCAGAAUCAGGUCUUAAGGGGAAGUCGGUUGCUAUCACUCCUACUCAAAACUCUACUCCGGUUUUGGCAAUCGGGAAAAGUCGAGGGAGGAAGAGAAAGAGCUCUUCUAAGGGUACCAAGGUUCGGACCCUUGAUGGCUCUUCUUCAAGUGGAACCAAGAAAGGUUUCAUUACUCCUUCUUCUGACCCAAAAGAGGCUGAAUGCUUCUAUUGCCAUGAAAAAGCUCAUUGGAAGCGGAACUGCCCAAAAUACCAGCAAGAUGUGAAGGAUGGGAAAGUUAAACCCAACCAUGCAGGUAUUUACACUAUCAUUUCUAAUAACUCACCCCAUUCUAAUUCUUGGGUCCUUGAUACCGGGUGUGGUAUUCACAUUUGUUGUGACUUGCAGGGACUAAGAAGAAGUGAGGAUGUGGAGCAAGGAAGGAUAAACUUGAUCAUGGGGAAUAGGAAAGCUAUACCUGUUACCAAGAUUGGAGUUUAUACUUUAUCGCUAAGUAGUGGGUUUAGUUUAGAUUUGAAUAAGUGUUGUUAUUCGCCAGGAAUGGCAAGAAAUAUUAUUUCCUUUCAUGCUUUGUACAAACAAGGGUUUACCUUUUCAUUUAAUAAUGAAGUUGGUUCUAUAGAUGUUUUCUAUAAUAAUGUCUUUUAUUUUAAAGCAUUACCUUGUGAUGGUGUGUAUGAAGCUGUAUCUGUUGUAGAUAACUUGGGAAAUAAUGUUUUGUGUAUUGAUUCUACUAAUAAUAACUUGGAUAAAGCAUCUUUAUGGCAUUGUCGUCUUGGACAUAUAAGCAAGAAACGCAUAGGCCAACUCCAAAAGGAUGGAGUCUUGGAGUCGUUUGACCUAAAGUCAGAUGAUAGUUGCGAAUCAUGCUUACUUGGAAAAAUGACAAAGUCACCCUUCACAGGUUCGUGUGAGAGGGGUGAAGGUUUGUUGGACCUUAUACACACGGAUGUGUGUGGACCAUUCAAACAUGCCACAAGGGAUGCUAAUCGUUAUUAUUUGACUUUUACUGAUGAUUAUAGUAGAUAUGGAUAUGUCUACUUGAUCAAGCAUAAGUCAGAGACUUUCGAGAGGUUUAAGGAAUUUAAACAGGAAGUCGAGAAUCAAUUGGGCAGGAAUAUUAAGAUGCUUCGAUCCGAUCGUGGUGGUGAGUAUCUUAGUUCAGAGUUCCUCGACUAUCUAAGGGAAUGUGGGAUAGUCUCACAAUUGACACCUCCCAGGACACCACAGUUGAAUGGUGUGGCUGAGAGGCGUAAUCGAACCUUGUUGGAUAUGGUUCGUUCCAUGAUGAGUCGAGCUACGCUACCAAUCUCAUUCUGGGGGUAUGCCUUAGAGACUGCCGCCCAUAUUCUUAAUCUAGUCCCUACAAAGAAAGUUGCCAAAACUCCUCACGAGAUGUGGACUGGUAAAGUACCUAAACUAGACCACAUCAAGAUUUGGGGUUGCGAGUCUUUCGUGAGACGCGAGACUCAUGAUAAGCUCGAACCUCGAAGCGAGAGGUGUAUUUUCAUCAGUUACCCACAGCGAUCCUUUGGUUACCUCUUCUACAGACCUAGUGACAAUGUGGUCUUUGUAGCAAGAAGAGGAGUCUUUUGAGAAAGAGAGUUUAUAAGCCAAGGAGACAGUGGGAGACAAAUUGAUCUUGAAGAAAUUCAAGAAUCAAGCGGUGAAGGAACUUCAAACUCUAGCCUUGGUUUGAGUAAAUUUGAGGAACACUCGUGUGAAUCGUCUCAAGCUAAGGAAAAAGAUUUUUGAAAUGAUUUCUAAAUGGUUUUCAAAAUAAGUAAAUGAGGGUGUGAAGUGUACGAUUAGCCAGAGCCAGUAAGUUUACCCCAAAAUACCAUGCAGUUUUGAUUAUGUGAUAUGUUAGAACAACAUGCUAGUGAUAAGAUAGGGAUCCUCAGGAACCAUAUGAUAGAAUUGCCUGAUCUUUGAUGCCAUAACUUAUGUAGAGUACCUCAUUGAUUGUUGUAUGACUCUUUCGCGUGUGAACUAACUAUUCGGUGAAUACUCCAAAUCACAUGCUACAUGGGUUAAAUUGUCUUAGGGUAAGGGAUUUGGUCUUGCUGCACAGCUCUUGUCUGAGUCCAACGGUUGUGGGAUUAAAUCUUUUAGUCUAAGAUUGGUUAAUGCAUGCGGUAUGUGAUUGUAUUCAUGCAAUAGUAAACUGGCACC
rnacentral:lncRNA from 1 species